CUCCCUUAAAAAAGACAUAAAAAAGCAUUUUCUAGAUUUUAAAAAGAAUGGAAUUUUAAUGGCUUGAUGGAUUAUGAGGUUGAUACACCUUUUCAUUUGAAUCUAAUUGCUAAUGCUACUUUCUUCCAACAGAUUUUCAGAUAUCCAAAACGGAUGAGUCGCUAACUUAAUCAUUCUUAGAUAAGAAUCUAGAUAAAUCUUUUAUUGCAAUGAGCCACUUUAUUAUAGAUAUUUUAUUGCAAUGAGUCACUCUAUUAUAUCUAUUAUAUUAACGAGGAUUGUGUAAUUUUUUUGCUAUGAUUAUGCCUAUAUGCAUUCGAAUGAAACAAAAGGGCGUAAAUUAUAUUGAUGAAAUUAGUUAAUGUAGCUCAAUUCUCAUUCUCCUAUAUUAUACUACAUCAAGAGCAUAACUUAUAUUUAAUUAUGAUUGGUAUUCUAUUUCGCUAUUCUUAAUUUAAGAGUUACAAGUUUAUGUUUAACCUUCCUUUUCAAAAAAGUUUAUGUUUAACCGUAUGAAGGUACGCACUUUUUC
rnacentral:lncRNA from 1 species